rnacentral:rRNA from 1 species
GACUAACGCUGGCGGCGUGCCUAACACAUGCAAGUCAAGGAGAACGUUCCCUUCGGGGAACUAUUAAACUGGCGGACGGGUGAGUAAUGCAUAGGUAACCUGCCCUGGAGACUGGGAUAACUUCGCGAAAGCGAUGCUAAUACCGGAUAAGACCACGUCCCGCAAGGGAUGCGGGAAAAGGAGGCUCAACCUCCACUUGGGGAUGAGUUCGCGGACCAUUAGCUUGUUGGUGAGAUAACAGCUCACCAAGGCUACGAUGGUUAGCCGGCCUGAGAGGGUGAACGGCCACACUGGAACUGAGACACGGUCCAGACUCCUACGGGAGGCAGCAGUGGGGAAUAUUGCGCAAUGGGCGAAAGCCUGACGCAGCAACACCGCGUGAGCGAUG